rnacentral:lncRNA from 10 species
CCUGCCAGUGUCUCCGCCGGUUGAAAGCGCGUGUCUGCGUCGGGUUCUGUUGGAGUGCGUUCGGUGUGCCGUGGGUCCGCGCUGCUUCCACCCAACUUCCUGUUAGAGUUUCUCUCCUGUCACAAUGGCAUGAUCUCGGCUCACUGCGACCUCUGCUUCCUGGGUUCAAGGAUUCUCCUGCCUCAGCCUCCCAAGUAGCUGGGAUUAC